UCCCUGCCCGCUGCAGCGCUGUCUCCGGUGAGUCAGAGGCUGGUAAUGUUCCCGACCAUCGCUCACAGGGACGCGGGCGCCCCAAAACUUUCCGCCUGCAACCUCACCUGCAGGGACUGUGACCUCUGCUCUCCUCAGAGACCGGCUGUCUUGUGUGCGAGUUAGUUCGGAGCCCGUCAGCCGUGUACCGGGUGAACGCAUUAGAGACGUGCAGGGGGAUGGAGCUGACACUCAGGACGCGGACAGCACCAGUGCUGGGGAGGAUGCGGAGCGGCAGGAGGCCUGGGCCAUCGCUGGCGGGGAUGCGGGACGGAGCCGCCUCUUGGAGUCACGUGGCCGCUCCUUGGAGCAGGAAAUGUCCUCUCAUCCCCUGGCCGCUGCCGCCCUCCUCGGCAGGUACCCGAAGGCGCUGAGAACGGACCUCCACACAGAAACCUGCACGCGGGUCACAGCGCUGUCUUCGUCGCUGCCCAACACGGGGCAGUGCUGUCCUUCAGCAGGCGAUGGUCCACCCAGAGCUGGGAAGCCUGCUCCGCGGGACAAAGAAAUGGGUAUCAAGCCCUGAAAGGCCGUGGAGGAAUCUUCAGGGCGUGUUUCUACGUGACAGAAACCAGCGUGGAAAGGCUGCAGGCGGUGUGAUGCUGACUGUGUGGCCUCCGGGAAAAGGCAAAACCGAUGGAGGCCCUGAAAAGACGAGUGGUUGUUAGGGUUUAGGGGGCAGCGGGAGGCUCUGAGGCCAUGGACCCAGCUAACAUCCUCUAGUUUAGCUGGAGGUGGUGCCAGGGUGUGGGGCCAGGCUUCCCCGAAAGCUCUUGGAAAGGGGACAGAGAAAAGAAGGUGGAGCAGGAGGAAUAAACUGGCACCUUCAUCCUCGGUCCUCGGCCUGGAAUGCAGGCUCCGUGCUGCAGGCAGAGCUGCCACCUGUGACGGCCCCCACUGAGGAGCGAGCCCAGAGGCGGCACGGAGCCCGGGAUGUGUCGCCGCACGACCUCGGACAGCGCCUUGUGGUCUGGAAUUGGAGUGUCCUCUGCACAAUGACGUCAUGCAGUGUGCGUGCCGCCAGCACAGUGCCUGGCACGUGAUAAGGACUGAAUAGAAGGUGGCACCAACCUGGAGUCCCCCCCUCCCCCCACAUUGCCAUGCACGAGACCUUUAAAAAGAGAGCACCUUCGGCAGCAUGGGUCUCAGACACUGAAUAUGAUAGAGUUUCUGGCUCAUUGUCAUGUGAAAGGCCACGGUCACCUGAUGCCAAGUGGGUCUUCCCAGGCCUGGCCUCAGAGCGUUACUCACUCCUUCACUCCCUCCCCACCUUCGGGGUGUUGCUGCCUACAGAUCAUUCCAGGGCAGGGGUGGGGACCAUCUGGCCCGCGGGCCCUGCAGACCCUGAAAUCAUGUGGUCUGGCCCUGCCAAGGCAUGAGGGGUGAGAUAAUUCGAUGUUGACCAAAGCUAGCAGGCUGAGUUUUCAGUUGAUAAUUUUGCAUGGCCCACGAAUGAUGCUCUAAACAUCCAAAUGGCCUUGGCA